rnacentral:rRNA from 1 species
AUUGAACGCUGGCGGCAUGCCUUACACAUGCAAGUCGAACGGUAACAGGUCUUCGGAUGCUGACGAGUGGCGAACGGGUGAGUAAUACAUCGGAACGUGCCUAGUAGUGGGGGAUAACUACUCGAAAGAGUGGCUAAUACCGCAUGAGAUCUACGGAUGAAAGCAGGGGAUCGCAAGACCUUGUGCUACUAGAGCGGCCGAUGGCAGAUUAGGUAGUUGGUGGGAUAAAAGCUUACCAAGCCGACGAUCUGUAGCUGGUCUGAGAGGACGAUCAGCCACAGUGGGACUGGGAAACGGCCCAGACUCCUACGGGAGGCAGCAGUGGGGAAUUUUGGACAAUGGGCGCAAGCCUGAUCCAGCAAUGCCGCGUGCAGGAUGAAGGCCUUCGGGUUGUAAACUGCUUUUGUACGGAACGAAAAGCCCCGGGUUAAUACCCUGGGGUCAUGACGGUACCGUAAGAAUAAGCACCGGCUAACUUCGUGCCAGCAGCCGCCGCCG